rnacentral:tRNA from 1 species
GCGGCGGUGUCCAAAUUGGUAAAGGAGGCGGUCUCAAAAGCCGCUGCUCGCAAGGGCUUGUGGGUUCGAGUCCCACCCGCCGCA